rnacentral:rRNA from 1 species
UGCAGUCGAGCGGUAAGGCCCUUCGGGGUACACGAGCGGCGAACGGGUGAGUAACACGUGGGUAACCUGCCCUGUACUCUGGGAUAAGCCUGGGAAACUAGGUCUAAUACCGGAUAUGAAUCUUCACCGCAUGGUGGGGGUUGGAAAGUUCCGGCGGUACGGGAUGGACCCGCGGCCUAUCAGCUUGUUGGUGGGGUGAUGGCCUACCAAGGCGACGACGGGUAGCCGGCCUGAGAGGGUGACCGGCCACACUGGGACUGAGACACGGCCCAGACUCCUACGGGAGGCAGCAGUGGGGAAUAUUGCACAAUGGGCGAAAGCCUGAUGCAGCGACGCCGCGUGAGGGAUGACGGCCUUCGGGUUGUAAACCUCUUUCAGCAGGGACGAAGCGUGAGUGACGGUACCUGCAGAAGAAGCACCGGCUAACUACGUGCCAGCAGCCGCGGUAAUACGUAGGGUGCGAGCGUUGUCCGGAAUUAUUGGGCGUAAAGAGCUCGUAGGCGGUUUGUUGCGUCGGCCGUGAAAACUUCACGCUUAACGUGGAGCCUGCGGUCGAUACGGGCAGACUUGAGUUCGGCAGGGGAGACUGGAAUUCCUGGUGUAGCGGUGAAAUGCGCAGAUAUCAGGAGGAACACCSGUGGCGAAGGCGGGUCUYUGGGCCGAUACUGACGCUGAGGAGCGAAAGCGUGGGGAGCGAACAGGAUUAGAUACCCUGGUAGUCCACGCCGUAAACGGUGGGUGCUAGGUGUGGGGGGCUUYCACGUCCUYCGUGCCGCAGSUAACGCAWUAAGCAMCCCGCCUGGGGAGUACGGCCGCAAGGCUAAAACUCAAAGGGAAUUGACGGGGGCCCGCACAAGCGGCGGAGCAUGUGGAUUAAUUCGAUGCAACGCGAAGAACCUUACCUGGGUUUGACAUGCCCCGGAAACCCAUGGAGACAUGGGCCUUUUCGGGCUGGUGUACCGGUGGUGCAUGGCUGUCGUCAACUCGUGUCGUGAGAUGUUGGGUUAAGUUCCGCCACGAGCGCAACCCUCGUUUCAUGUUGCCAGCGCGUGAUGGCGGGGACUCAUGGGAGGCUGCCGGGGUCAACUCGGAGGAAGGUGGGGAAGACGUCAAGUCCUCAUGCCCCUUAUGUUCAGGGCUUCCCCCCUGCUACAAUGGCCGGU